rnacentral:rRNA from 1 species
AGCAGCCGCGGUAAUUCCAGCUCCAAUAGCGUAUAUUAAAGUUGCUGCAGUUAAAAAGCUCGUAGUUGAAUUUCGGGACCAUCAUGUCGGUCGUGCCUCGGUACGUACUGGUAUUGUUGGUUUCUCCCUUCUGACGAACCAUGAUGUCAUUUAUUUGGUGUUGUGGGGAAUCAGGACUGUUACUUUGAAAAAUUGAGUGUUUAAAGCAGGCUCACGCUUGAAUACAUUAGCAUGGAAUAAUGAAAUAGGACGUUUGAUUCUAUUUGUUGGUUUCUAGGAUCGACGUAAUGAUUAAUAGGGAUAGUUGGGGCAUUAGUAAUUCAAUUGUCAGAGGUGAAAUUCUUGGAUUUAUUGAAGACUAACUACUGCG